rnacentral:rRNA from 1 species
GACGAACGCUGGCGGCGCGCCUAACACAUGCAAGUCGAACGAGCGAGCGGGAGCUUGCUUUCUCGAGCGAGUGGCGAACGGGUGAGUAACGCGUGAGGAACCUGCCUCAAAGAGGGGGACAACAGUUGGAAACGACUGCUAAUACCGCAUAAGCCCACGGUUCCGCAUGGCACAGAGGGAAAAGGAGCAAUCCGCUUUGAGAUGGCCUCGCGUCCGAUUAGCUAGUGGGUGAGGUAAUGGCCCACCAAGGCGACGAUCGGUACCCGGACUAGGAGGUUGAACGGCAACUUUGGACCGGCGACACGCCCCGGCCUCCACCGGAGGCAGCAGUGGGGAAUAUUGCACAAUGGGGGAAACCCUGAUGCAGCGACGCCGCGUGGAGGAAGAAGGUCUUCGGAUUGUAAACUCCUGUUGUUGGGGAAGAUAAUGACGGUACCCAACAAGGAAGUGACGGCUAACUACGUG